rnacentral:rRNA from 1 species
AGCUACACAUGCAAGUCGAGCGGUAGCACAGAGAGCUUGCUCUCGGGUGACGAGCGGCGGACGGGUGAGUAAUGUCUGGGAAACUGCCUGAUGGAGGGGGAUAACUACUGGAAACGGUAGCUAAUACCGCAUAACGUCGCAAGACCAAAGUGGGGGACCUUCGGGCCUCAUGCCAUCAGAUGUGCCCAGAUGGGAUUAGCUAGUAGGUGGGGUAACGGCUCACCUAGGCGACGAUCCCUAGCUGGUCUGAGAGGAUGACCAGCCACACUGGAACUGAGACACGGUCCAGACUCCUACGGGAGGCAGCAGUGGGGAAUAUUGCACAAUGGGCGCAAGCCUGAUGCAGCCAUGCCGCGUGUGUGAAGAAGGCCUUCGGGUUGUAAAGCACUUUCAGCGGGGAGGAAGGCGAUAAGGUUAAUAACCUUAUCGAUUGACGUUACCCGCAGAAGAAGCACCGGCUAACUCCGUGCCAGCAGCCGCGGUAAUACGGAGGGUGCAAGCGUUAAUCGGAAUUACUGGGCGUAAAGCGCACGCAGGCGGUCUGUCAAGUCGGAUGUGAAAUCCCCGGGCUCAACCUGGGAACUGCAUUCGAAACUGGCAGGCUAGAGUCUUGUAGAGGGGGGUAGAAUUCCAGGUGUAGCGGUGAAAUGCGUAGAGAUCUGGAGGAAUACCGGUGGCGAAGGCGGCCCCCUGGACAAAGACUGACGCUCAGGUGCGAAAGCGUGGGGAGCAAACAGGAUUAGAUACCCUGGUAGUCCACGCCGUAAACGAUGUCGAUUUGGAGGUUGUGCCCUUGAGGCGUGGCUUCCGGAGCUAACGCGUUAAAUCGACCGCCUGGGGAGUACGGCCGCAAGGUUAAAACUCAAAUGAAUUGACGGGGGCCCGCACAAGCGGUGGAGCAUGUGGUUUAAUUCGAUGCAACGCGAAGAACCUUACCUGGUCUUGACAUCCACAGAACUUUCCAGAGAUGGAUUGGUGCCUUCGGGAACUGUGAGACAGGUGCUGCAUGGCUGUCGUCAGCUCGUGUUGUGAAAUGUUGGGUUAAGUCCCGCAACGAGCGCAACCCUUAUCCUUUGUUGCCAGCGGUUAGGCCGGGAACUCAAAGGAGACUGCCAGUGAUAAACUGGAGGAAGGUGGGGAUGACGUCAAGUCAUCAUGGCCCUUACGACCAGGGCUACACACGUGCUACAAUGGCAUAUACAAAGAGAAGCGACCUCGCGAGAGCAAGCGGACCUCAUAAAGUAUGUCGUAGUCCGGAUUGGAGUCUGCAACUCGACUCCAUGAAGUCGGAAUCGCUAGUAAUCGUAGAUCAGAAUGCUACGGUGAAUACGUUCCCGGGCCUUGUACACACCGCCCGUCACACCAUGGGAGUGGGUUGCAAAAGAAGUAGGUAGCUUAACCUUCGGGAGGGCGCUACCACUAGAUU